GCAUCGAUCAUAAUCAGCUAUAGGAUCAGUAAACAGAUCAGUGUGGCUCAGGCGUUACUCGCUUUCGGUUUCUUCCGGACGAACGGACGCUGAAUACGUAUUGUUUCUGUUGAUUGUUUACUCUCAGUCGAUUUAACGACACAAACUGAGAACUGUUAGCCCGGCAACAAUGUUGGGAGAGGGCAGAGGGGUACGCUCUUUGAAGUGGAUCUCCAUCCUCAGAUUUAUUUCUGGGAAAUGAGUUCUUGCCAAUCAGCAGGAAUAUUACGGGCAUUAUAAACAGCCGUCGCAGGUGAGAACCAUAAUUCAAUCGAAUAAUAGUGGAAUGUUUUCUCAGGCAUUCGGACGAUACAAGUGUUCCAUUGCGCGUUGGCUUUACAGAAUUUCCCCAAUUGCGUUCUAAUUUCGCCCGUCUCUCGGCAGAAGGAUUCGAAAGAGCUACAGUUACCGUUUCCAGAAUGUGUGGCACCACAUAUGUACAUAUGUUUCGUGACUAAUGUCGUAGGUGACGUGACGUCGAGGGACCUCCGGUCCCCAGAUUGGUUCGCCCAUGGAUGUAUGAAUUAUUAAUAGGACAAAAAUGUGUGUGGAUUCAAAAUUCUUUGCAAUUAUUUCGAUUCCCCCUCUCCCUCUCUCAACAGAGAGUCAAAUCAAUUAAAUUUGAUAUAAUUUGCCAACUGUUUUGGUUUUGUGGUUACAAAACAAUUUCUAUACGAAAUACAUACUUGAGUUUUGAAAUAUGAAA